GUACUCCUUGGUUCAUGCCAGUGUUCCUGCACCCAGCACUGAAGCUGAACAUUGACAGUGAUUUGCCCCUGCCCCAGAGUCCUCCCUGCAUUCCCCUCGAGGGCCCCCGUCUCCUGGCCCUGGUGUCCACUUUUCUCUCAGCUGCUGGGAACGUGUUAGUGUGCACUGUUCUCCUUUCCCUCACCUGCUGGCUUCAUGUUAGCAUGCACCGUUCUGCUCACUUUCUUCCCCUCACCUGCCGGGAUCAUCUUAGCAUGCACCAUUCUGCUCACUUUCUUCCUCUCACCUGCCAGGAUCAUGUAAGCGUGCACCGUUCUCCACACUUUCUUCCUCUCACCUGCCGGGAUCACGUUAGCAUGCACCAUUCUGCACACUUCCUUCCCCUCAUCUGCCAGGGUCAUCUUAGCAUGCACCAUUCUGCUCACUUCACCUUCUUCUUCUCGCCUGCUGGGAUCAUGUUAGUGUGCACUGUUCUGCACACUUUCUUCCUCUCCCCUGCUGGGAUCAUGUUAGUGUGCACCGUUCUGCACACUUUCUUCCUCUCACCUGCUGGGAUCAUCUUAGCAUGCACCAUUCUGCUCACUUUCUUCCUGUCACCUGCUGGGAUCAUGUUGGCGUGCACCAUUCUGCACACUUUCUUCCUCUCGCCUGCUGGGAUCAUGUUAGCGUGCACAGUUCUGCAUACUUGCUUCCCCUCACCUGCCAGGAACAGGUUAGUGUUCCCCAUUCUGCACACUUUCUUCCUCUCACCUGCCGGGAUCAUGUUAGCGUACACCAUUCUGCACACUUUCUUCCUCUGUGUACGUGUGUGUGGUUUUCCUUUCAGAAAUGGGUCAUACUCUGUGGACAUCUUUUUCCACUUAAAGUGAUGGCACAGCCAUUUUCCCAGUCAAGUAACAUGAAUGUACAAGUUUAGCAAACUUCCUCCUGAGAGAUGGAGAGAUCAAGGCUUCUGCUCCGUGGCAGCCAUCCGUGCACAUGCAUCACUGUGCGUGAGUUGGUCCCAGUGGCUUGCUGAGACAUGCUCUGCACAGGGGAGAUUUCUUAUACCAGCAGUGUGGGAGGCAGUGGGGCAGGUAGAGCCACAAGUGGGGAUGAGGGAGCAGAGUCUAGGGCAGGCUCCUGGAUGGACACCAGCUACACUGUCUAUUGGAUGUGGGACUUCCCUCACUGAUGAAAUGAAUAAGAGAAUCUUCCUCAUCCUGCUGUUGUUGGCGUUAAAACGGGUUAAUGCAUGAAAGCAACAAAGCCCGGCCUGCAGACAGCACAUGGUAAGUCUCCUCUUCCCAGCAUGUUCAACAGGAAGCCCUCAUUCCCUCUAGAAUGUAGGAGUCUUGCCAGCAGUGGCCUGUUUGUUCUCUGCCUGUUGCCGACCUGAUGAGAACAUAAAAUUGGUGUCUUCUGUAUAGAUUUCCUUCUUAUUGCCCCUACUGUGGCUGAACAUACCUUCCCCCGUGCUUGAAGUCUGUUCAUAUAUGUUCUGCUGUGAUAACUGCCCAUUCUUGUUCUCUAUCUAAGAAGGCAUUUAGUUUUGAAAAUAUUUUGUUGGCUUGUAAGAUAUUUGUACAUAUUAAGCACAGCAAACCUGUAACAUAUUCACUGUAAAUCAUUAUUCCUCAUGCAUCAUUUGCCAUUUAACUGUAUUUUUUUCCUUUUUGAUGUAACCUGCUAUAGUUUACAUUUUUAAAUCAGAAAUGCCUGCACAUUUUAAAACGAAGACUCUUAUGCUCUAGCCUUUGAGGUCAUGCUUGGAAAGUCCUUUCUCACACAAAGAUUAUUUACACUUUCAUCUCUUUUUCUCUGAGUACGUUUCAGUGUUUAAUUGACCAGGAAUGUAUUUCGAGGUGUGAUAUGAGACAAGGAUCUGAAAUGCUUUGCCCACUGAAUCAUCAUGCACUGACCGAAAUGCCACCUGUAUGAGUGCUAAAAUCAUUGUCGCUGGACCUGUGUCUGCACUGUUUAAUUUUAGUGUUGUUUCUCACAUCAGCUUCUGUUGUUUUCAUGGUUGUGGUUCUCAUACUUUUAAUAUCUGUUGGAGCAAAUAAAGCCUCGUUUCUCAUCUUUUCCAAAAAUGUCUUAUGUAUGUGAACUUUGGUGUUAUUUGUCAAGUCUGGGCAUUCUCCCACCCCCAUAUUAAAGAAUGCUCUCUGGAGUUUGUCUGGAGGUUUUGUUUAACUUUUAGAUUCACAUCAGGAGAAUCUUUGUCUUCAUGGUAAGUGGUCUUCCCAUCUAAGACUAUUUCUUCAAGCUGUUUGUAAUAAAAAGCUGUGUGAUUUUUGUAUGUUUA
rnacentral:lncRNA from 1 species